CAGGGUUAGCGGUGGUGGGGUCCGGGAGCAACAUGGCGGCGUCCGUGAGGCGCUGCUUUGGGGAAAAAGUAGUGUUCGGUGUCGCUGUCUUGCGGGAAUAUUGACAGAUUGGCGCUUUCCGCUACCACCCGCCUACAGGCAGCCUGUGCUGAUAGGUGGGCAGCUUUAUCGUCCCCUCUGAUUCUCAAAAGCAGGGUCCUGAGCACUAACGAGCAUGAGCAACAUCUACAUCCAGGAGCCUCCCACGAACGGGAAGGUUUUAUUGAAAACUACAGCUGGAGAUAUUGACAUAGAGUUAUGGUCAAAAGAAGCUCCUAAAGCUUGCAGAAAUUUCAUUCAGCUUUGCUUGGAAGCCUAUUACGACAACACCAUUUUUCAUAGAGUUGUACCUGGUUUUAUAGUCCAAGGGGGUGAUCCUACUGGUACAGGGGCUGGUGGAGAGUCUAUCUAUGGAGCCCCAUUCAAGGAUGAAUUCCACUCACGGUUACGUUUUAAUCGGAGAGGACUGGUUGCCAUGGCAAACGCUGGUCCUCAUGAUAAUGGCAGCCAGUUCUUCUUCACACUGGGUCGAGCAGAUGAACUCAACAAUAAGCACACCAUCUUCGGAAAGGUUACAGGGGACACAGUAUAUAACAUGCUGCGACUGACAGAAGUAGACAUUGGUGAUGAAGAAAGACCACGUAAUCCACACAAAAUAAAAAGUUGUGAGGUUUUGUUUAAUCCUUUUGAUGACAUCAUACCAAGAGAAAUAAAAAAGCCAAAAAAAGAGAAACCAGAAGAGGAAGUAAAGAAAUUGAAACCCAAGGGCACAAAAAAUUUUAGUUUACUUUCAUUUGGAGAGGAAGCUGAGGAAGAAGAGGAAGAAGUAAAUCGAGUUAGUCAGAGCAUGAAGGGAAAAAGCAAAAGUAGUCAUGACUUGCUAAAGGAUGAUCCACAUCUCAGUUCUGUUCCAGCUGUUGGAAGUGAGGAAGGUGAUGCAGCAGAUUUGACUGAUGAUGGAGACUAUGAGAGUGCAGAGCAUGAUGAAUCUGUUGAUGGUGAUGAGAAGAACCUGAUGAGAGAAAGAAUUACAAAAAAGUUAAAAAAGGCUACAAGUGCAAAUGUUAAAUCAGCUGGAGAAGUGAACAAAUCAUUUAGCCGCAGUGAGGAGCUCAGAAAAGAAGCGAGACAAUUAAAGCGGGAACUUUUAGCAGCAAAACAGAAAAAAGAAACUGCAGCAAAACAAGCAGAAAAAAGAAGCGAGGAGGAAGAGCUUGCUCCAGAUGGUGCUGUUGCAGAAUACAGAAGAGAAAAGCAAAAGUAUGAAGCUUUGAGGAAGCAGCAGGCAAAGAAAGGAACAUCCCGGGAAGAUCAGACCCUUGCGCUGCUGAACCAGUUUAAAUCUAAACUCACUCAAGCAAUUGCUGAAACUCCUGAAAAUGAUGUUUCUGAAACAGAAGUAGAAGAUGACGAAGGAUGGAUUCUUCAAAAUCUGAGUAUAUCCGUGGGAGUUUGUCAUAUAGUGAAUUUCACUCAGCAUUUAUGUUACUUCAGGGGACUAGGGUGCGGAAUCUCUCCUAGUUCCUACUGCCCAGAUCUCUGUUUAUGUGGGGGAAAAGAAAUUAAUGUAAUACUUGAGUUUCAUCUGAAAGUUACAACUGGCAUAAGGGGAGUGUUAAUCCUAAAGGCAAUUUAGCCCUAUCUGCUGUGAUAAAGAAAAGUGCUGGGCAUGCCUGAUUUUAAAAUUACAUUAAUAACUAGUGAGAAAAGCCUUAGUAGUUUUGUUUAUAUUUAAAAAACUGAACUGAACUGUUCUCUCCAGAUUCAUUCAACUGCCCUGAAAUCUGAUCUUUUGACUUCCUUAUUUAUUCCUGACACCUCCUAAUAGGGGCAGAGCUAAUCACUUACAUAUUUCCCUGCUGCCAAGGAUAGCCAGCUUAUGACCACUUACAAUUCAAGCACAUGCUGAUACCUUAAGACCAGUAAGCAUUUGAUAAAGUAGGAAAGCAGGGUGGUUAGAUUUGUUGUAAUCAACAGUAAGAGGAGGAAAUUAGUCCAUGGACCUAUGCCAAAAACUUAGUGUCCUUUUGCGCGCGCGCACACACACAAACACACACACACACACACAAUGUUUAACCCAGCAACUCCUCAGAAAUGGGCAUCAUAGCACCAUUUAUCAAGAAUUUUCUUAACAUGUUCCCUACUCUUGACCCAUUUAACUACUGAAAACAAAAAAAUCAGAUACCCCUGGUCAUUGUCAGGAGUUUUGCCCUGCAGCCUGGCUCACUGUGGCUAAGUGAGUAUGCUCUUUAAAGGAAGCUGACAGAAUCAUCUCUGAGUUUAGUGUGAGGAACACUUCUGGGUCGAACUCUUAACCUCCCAUCAUGGAAGAACCUCAAGUGAAGACUGAGGCAGAGAGACUCACUACUAGAAAUACAAGCCAGCAGAACAAACUCCAGACAUGGUUCUCAAAUGAUGUCGCAUGUACUUCAGUUUGAGGAUAAAAGCAGAAAAGUGAAAGAUGCAAGCAUGCAAGACUCAGACACAUUUGAGAUCUAUGAUCCUCGGAAUCCAGUGAAUAAAAGAAGAAGGGAAGAAAGCAA